GUAGGGAAUAUUGGGCAAUGGAUGCAAGUCUGACCCAGCCAUCCCGCGUGCCGGAAGAAGGCCCUCAGGGUUGUAAACGGCUUUUGACGGUGAAGAAUCGACAGGAUGCGUCCUGUUUUGACGGUAGCCGUUGAAUAAGCACCGGCUAACUCCGUGCCAGCAGCCGCGGUAAUACGGAGGGUGCGAGCGUUGUCCGGAUUUAUUGGGUUUAAAGGGUGCGUAGGCUGGAAGGUCAGUCAGCGGUGAAAAGCUAUCGCUUAACGAUAGUCUUGCCGCAGAUACUUCCUUUCUUGGAUGAGGAGGAGGCCACUGGAACGGAUGGUGUAGCGGUGAAAUGCAUAGAUAUCAUCCAGAACACCGAUUGCGAAGGCAGGUGGCUGUACCUUAAUCGACGCUGAUGCACGAAAGCAUGGGGAGCAAACAGGAUUAGAAACCCCUGUGGUCC
rnacentral:rRNA from 1 species